ensembl:lncRNA
UAGCAAGUCAAGUGAUUUUUACACCAUACAAAGGGCUCUCGCUAAUGUUUAUUUCAUAUCAGGCUCCCCACUGCUCCUUUCUAGCCAGUAUCACAUGUUCUUAGUAUCGAGAAACGCAGACUCUGAUGAAGGAAAGCCAUGUAAUGUCUCUUUAUACUUGUGUGCUUUGUUUGGUUCUGCUUGCACACAGGACAAAAACAAAAUUGGCAUCCUUAAUAAAAAUGAAUAAAAGCUGCAGUGACUGGUAUUUUGAGCCUAAACAUAUAAGGACACUGUGCAGGUUUAGUAAAAAAAAAUCUAUAAACAUUCCUAAUUAGAUACAUUAUUCCUGCUAAAUAGAUUUCUUUGUCAAAACUAUUGUCUUCAGGGUCAUGGAGGCUUGCACCUCUGGGGUUGGGAGUUUGAUUUCUGCCUCCGCCCUCCGAGUUUGCAUGUUCUCCCCAUGUGUUGGGGGUUUCCUCCAGAUACUCCAGUUUCCUCCCCCAAUCCAAAGACAUGUGCUGUAGACUUACUGGCAUAUUUAUGUUGUCCGUGGUGUGCGAGUGUGUGUUCACUCGCACACCACGCUCCCUGUGACUCUGUGUAGGAUAAGUGGUACAGAAAAUGGAUGGAACCAUUGUCAUCUUCACAAUUAGUCUAAAGUUUGGAAUUAUAUUGGACCACUCAUCCCUGUGGACUUUUGUCACCUGGUCGGUUAAGAUCUCAUCAGGGAUGGCUCUUCAGAUCAUCGUAUACCUUGGCUUGCUCCUCGUCCAUUGCUAGGUAAGCCUCCAGCAUCUGUCCUGUCAGCAGCGGGAUGAGUCGAUAGCUCCACACCUCUUCAGGCCACCUCCAGGUCCUGGCCAGGCGCCCGACCCGCCAAAGAUAAUUCUCAAUGUCCUCCCCCUGUUGGAAGACAGGCAUCCUCAGAUCGUCUCGUGGUGUGAGCUGACUCUCUGGAGCAGGAACCAUGGGUAAGUGGGUGUCCCAUGAAAAACCAUUGACAGCGUUGGCCUUCCAUCUAUGGUGUGCUGGUGUCGGCAGUUCCAUCCCUGGGCUCUCAGUGGCGAUCGGAGUUGGAGUUGUUGCAUGUCGAAUCGACUGCAGUAUGGACUCUCGUAGACCUUGGAUCUUCAGAAGAUACCUCUCCUCUCUCUUCUGCUGUGCAUUCAUGAAGUCAUACAUCAAGGUAACCAUUUUUUCACCUGACCUGGACUGCUAUGCACUAGACUUGCCUGAAGCUUGUGGAAAUUCCUCAGCUACCUCCUCUUCAUUUGAAGUCUCCACCAUGUCCAAGGUUGCACCCUCCUUAAUCUUAGCCUUCACUUCAGAGUGUAAGCCCCUCCUGGUCUUUUUGCCUCUCGACACCAUCUUGCAGGAAGCCAUCCCACUCCUGCCACCAAAUGUGAGAUAGUGGGACUCAACAAUCUCACCCGAAAUUGUGUUAAGGUAAAAAUGAAAGCUUAGCCCCCAAUAGCACUGAUGUGCAAUGUGAUGUUUAUUUACAGUGUCCGAGAAAAAGGAAAUGCACAAAAACAUUUAUCCACAAAAUGACAAAG